rnacentral:lncRNA from 1 species
ACUUGUGGUGCAAUAAACUCUAUCACAUCAAUAUUUGGUUCGAUACAAUAUUAACUAUCGCAUCAAUAUGUGGUUCGAUGCAAUAUUAAAGACCACAUCGACAUGUGGUUUGAUGCAACACAAAGUAUUGCAUCGACAUGUGGUUCGAUGCAACACAAAGUAUUGCAUCGACAUGUAGUUCGAUGCAAUACAAACUAUCACAUCAAUAUG